CAGUAGCCGCGGGAAUACCGAGGGUGCAAGCGUUAAUCGGAAUUACUGGGCGUAAAGCGCGCGUAGGUGGUUUGUUAAGUUGGAUGUGAAAUCCCAGGGCUCAACCUGGGAACUGCAUCCAAAACUGGCAAGCUAGAGUAUGGUAGAGGGUGGUGGAAUUUCCUGUGUAGCGGUGAAAUGCGUAGAUAUAGGAAGGAACACCAGUGGCGAAGGCGACCACCUGGACUGAUACUGACACUGAGGUGCGAAAGCGUGGGGAGCAAACAGGAUUAGAUACCCCAGUAGUCCCUGUCUCUUAUAC
rnacentral:rRNA from 1 species